GAGACUCCGUGGGCGGAGGACCCUCCGAGCCAGGUGCCGGAUAUAAUCUCGUGGUGCGACGUUUUUUAAGCCCGUCGGAAAAGCGCAGUAUUCGGGUGGGAGUGGCCUGAUUUUCCAGGUGACAACCGUCACCCCUUUGUUUGACUAGGAAAGGGAACUCCCUGACCCCUUGAGCUUCCCGAGUGAGGCAGUUCUUCACCCUGCUUUGGCUUGCGCAUGGUGCGCUGCACCCACUGUCCUGCACCCACUAUCUGGCACUCCCUAGUGAGAUGAACCCGGUACCUCAUAUGGAAAUGCAGAAAUCACCCGUCUUCUGCGUCGCCCACGCUGGGAGCUGUAUAGCUGUAUACCGGAGCUGUUCCUAUUCGGCCAUCUUGGCUCCUCCCCCCUAAGAUUCUUUACUUAUCCUUACAGAAGGAGGUUUACUUUUGUCUACAUUGGCAGAUAAAGUGAGUUUGGGGGAGUUAUGGAGGUGGAGGGGAAGACUCUUGAGAAGCCUAAGGAGUGAGAAGACAAGUGCCUUUCUUACUAUAAAAAUAAUUAAAAGCAGAACACUUGUAGAGGAAACUGAACACACAAUCGAAAACGCUUGAGACUUGCAGGGUUUGUAUGACAUACUACCUUUCUCGUUGAAAGAUAUUCCAUCAAAUUUAGGUUGAAUAAAAAUUGGUUAGGAUUUGAGUUAAUAAGUUUACCUGUUCUUUGGUCAUUUCUUAUUUCUGUCACCAUUAUUAAUUGUCCUUCAAUAGCCACAAUGUCAAAGGCACGCCUCUGUUUCUUGCUGACCUCCGUGCAAAGAAUGGCAAAUUUACUUAUAUGUCUUACUCCUUAUGUGCAGAAUUUAUUUGAAGAAUUGUAUAUUUCAAAGAGAAAAGUGGCACUAAAUAUGUACCUUGGUUUUUAUGGUUGACAAAUGUAAAAAACAGUAUUUGUAAUCCUUUGAGAAUCAGCAGUGGUCAAGCUAUGAUGCAAGGCAGUAUAAAUUAGUUUUUCAGCCCUAUGGCAGACA
rnacentral:lncRNA from 10 species